rnacentral:rRNA from 1 species
ACACAUGCAGUCGAACGAGAAAGUGGAGCAAUCCAUGAGUACAGUGGCGUACGGGUGAGUAACACGUGGGUAAUCUACCUCAUUGUGGGGAAUAACCCUGGGAAACCGGGGCUAAUACCGCAUAAGCUCGAGAGAGGAAAGCAGCAAUGCGCUGGGAGAGGAGCCCGCGGCCGAUUAGCUAGUUGGCAGGGUAAAAGCCUACCAAGGCAAAGAUCGGUAGCCGGCCUGAGAGGGCACACGGCCACACUGGCACUGAAACACGGGCCAGACUCCUACGGGAGGCAGCAGUGGGGAAUCUUGCACAAUGGGGGAAACCCUGAUGCAGCGACGCCGCGUGAGCGAUGAAGCCCUUCGGGGUGUAAAGCUCUUUCGGCAGGGAAGAUUAUGAC